rnacentral:misc_RNA from 1 species
AUUCACCACUGAUCAUCAGCCUUCUCUGCUCUUUACUUGACACCAUCAAUCUUCUUUUCUUCUCCUUUUUUGCAAUUUCUCACCUGUCACCAUUUAAGUCUACCAACAUUUAUCUCUACUUUUCGCUACUUAUUAGUGCUGGGAACAGUGAACCCUAACGGAGAAAACACAAAGUGAGGCUUUCACAUCUUUUUUGGAUUUUUCCACCUCAUCAUAAAUCGCAUCUCAA